AGACGCGCAAGGGAGAGGAUUUCAUACAAGUACCAUCUCUCGUACUGAAAGGGAGGUCGCAAGACCCAUGGUGUGCACACAACACGAAUGCCCAACACCGACCGGGCUCUACGGAGCUUGAGUUUGAGUGUGCCUGUUUGGACCCGAAAGGUGGUGAACUAUUGCCUGAACAAGAUGAAGCCCGGGGAAAUCCCAGGUGGAGGUCUGUAGCGAUGCUGACGUGCAAAUCGCUCGCAUGAUUUGGGUAUCGGAGCGAAAGACUCAUCGAACCACGCUAGUAGCUGGUUCACAUCGAAGUUUCCCUCAGGAUAGCUGGUGCUAAUUGUAGUACCUGUGCGGUAAAGCAAAUGAUUAGAGGCCAUUGGUGUUCUUAGUGAUAUCGAGCCUAUUCUCACAACCUUUAAAUGUGCAGAAAAACUGUCUUUUGCCUUGUGCAGGAAGGUACAGAAAGAAAAGAAUUUAGGCACCAAGUGGGCUCUUCUUCGGUAAGCGGAGCAGGCGAUGCGGAAUGAACCGCUUAGGGAUAUGUGGCGUCAAAACUUUUGGCUCAUUCUCGAUACGUG
rnacentral:rRNA from 1 species